UACGGAAGGCAGCAGUGGGGAAUAUUGCACAAUGGGCGCAAGCCUGAUGCAGCCAUGCCGCGUGUAUGAAAAAGGCCUUCGGGUUGUAAAGUACUUUCAGUCGUGAGGAAGGUGUUAAGGUUAAUAACCUUAGCAAUUGACGUUAGCGACAGAAGAAGCACCGGCUAACUCCGUGCCAGCAGCCGCGGUAAUACGGAGGGUGCGAGCGUUAAUCGGAAUUACUGGGCGUAAAGGGCACGCAGGCGGUUAAUUAAGUUGGAUGUGAAAUCCCCGGGCUUAACCUGGGAAUGGCAUUCAAGCUGGUUAGCUAGAGUCUUGUAGAGGGGGUAGAAUUCCAUGUGUAGCGGUGAAAUGCGUAGAGAUGUGGAGGAAUACCGGUGGCGAAGGCGGCCCCUGGACAAAGACUGACGCUCAUGUGCGAAAGCGUGGGGAGCAAACG
rnacentral:rRNA from 1 species